GACGAACGCUGGCGGCGUGCCUAAUACAUGCAAGUUGAGCGAUGAAGAUUGGUGCUUGCACCAAUUUGAAGAGCAGCGAACGGGUGAGUAACGCGUGGGGAAUCUGCCUUUGAGCGGGGGACAACAUUUGGAAACGAAUGCUAAUACCGCAUAAUAACUUUAAACAUAAGUUUUAAGUUUGAAAGAUGCAAUUGCAUCACUCAAAGAUGAUCCCGCGUUGUAUUAGCUAGUUGGUGAGGUAAAGGCUCACCAAGGCGAUGAUACAUAGCCGACCUGAGAGGGUGAUCGGCCACAUUGGGACUGAGACACGGCCCAAACACCUACGGGAGGCAGCAGUAGGGAAUCUUCGGCAAUGGACGAAAGUCUGACCGAGCAACGCCGCGUGAGUGAAGAAGGUUUUCGGAUCGUAAAACUCUGUUGGUAGAGAAGAACGUUGGUGAGAGUGGAAAGCUCAUCAAGUGACGGUAACUACCCAGAAAGGGACGGCUAACUACGUG
rnacentral:rRNA from 1 species